AGCCCAGAUCGUCAGCUAAGGUCCCUAAAUGUAAGUUAAGUGGUAAAGGAUGUGGGAUUGCACAGACAACCAGGAUGUUGGCUUAGAAGCAGCCACUCAUUCAAAGAGUGCGUAAUAGCUCACUGGUCGAGUGAUCCUGCGCCGAAGAUUUCCGGGGCUAAAACUUACUACCGAAGCUACGGCAUCAUUAUGAUGGGUAGGGGAGCUUCCCAUACGGGUUGAAGCAUGACCGUAAGGACAUGUGGACAGUAUGGGAGUGAGAAUGUUGGCAUGAGUAGCGAGAUGUGGGUGAGAAUCCCACAGGCCGUAAACCCAAGGGUCCAGGGAAGGUUCGUCCGC
rnacentral:rRNA from 1 species